rnacentral:rRNA from 1 species
GACGAACGCUGGCGGCGUGCUUAACACAUGCAAGUCGAACGAUGAAGCGGCCAGCUUGCUGGUGGUGGAUUAGUGGCGAACGGGUGAGUAACACGUGAGUAACCUGUCCUUCACUCUGGGAUAAGCCCUGGAAACGGGGUCUAAUACUAGAUAUUCUCAAUGUGCCGCAUGGUGUGUUGUGGAAAGUUUUUUCGGUCAGGGAUGGACUCGCGGCCUAUCAGCUUGUUGGUGAGGUAAUGGCUCACCAAGGCGUCGACGGGUAGCCGGCCUGAGAGGGUGACCGGCCACACUGGGACUGAGACACGGCCCAGACUCCUACGGGAGGCAGCAGUGGGGAAUAUUGCACAAUGGGCGCAAGCCUGAUGCAGCAACGCCGCGUGCGGGAUGACGGCCUUCGGGUUGUAAACCGCUUUUAGUAAGGAAGAAGGGGAGCUUGCUCCUUGACGGUACUUGCAGAAAAAGGACCGGCUAACUACGUGCCAGCCGCCGCCGUAAAAC